rnacentral:rRNA from 1 species
UACGUAGGGUGCGAGCGUUAAUCGGAAUUACUGGGCGUAAAGCGUGCGCAGGCGGUUUGUUAAGACAGAUGUGAAAUCCCCGGGCUUAACCUGGGAACUGCAUUUGUGACUGGCAAGCUAGAGUAUGGCAGAGGGGGGUAGAAUUCCACGUGUAGCAGUGAAAUGCGUAGAGAUGUGGAGGAAUACCGAUGGCGAAGGCAGCCCCCUGGGCCCAAUACUGACGCU